CCCUAUAUAUUAGACGGGAGCAAGAUACAAUUCCACAGAGCAUCCAUUGGAGAAGUUAGGUGAAGGAGAAGUAGGCGUUCCGGUUCGAAGAAGGGUGGAGAGAGAUUCCAAUCCGAAGCAACUGAUCCAGAAAAUGGACAUUGGCACUGUUUGAUGGAGAACAACCGAAGUCUAAUCGAGUCCACAAUGGAGUUUCAGAGGAGGCGCUGAUUUGUUCCUGAAAAUUCGAUUGUUUCUCUCCUUCCACAAGUGAUAGACAAAGCUAUCCGAGUGCUACCGCUAAAAAUAUGUUGAGGAAUGUUACUAAACAGCUAAGCAAUAUCAACAACCUUGAUGAUACGAUGCAAACUCUCAGAAGCAAAAUUGAAUGGAAAAUAAAUAAAAGAGAAGUUGAGAAUUGGUUGGAUAAUGUGCAAAAACUAAAUUUCAAAGCUUAGAAUGAGAUGUACCAGGAAACAGUACUACUUUUCAAAAAGAAUUUGGAAAAGGCUUGGGAUUGCUUAGUGAAAGAUGAUAUCAUGCACAUUUGAAUUUAUAAAAUGGGGGCAUUGGGUAAAACAGCCUCGGCAACCCAUAUCUAUAAUUUACUUUUACGAAGUUCUGAAACUUCUGAUGCGCAUGUUCAUUGGUUCUCUGUAUAGCAAGAUUAAAGUGUAGAUAAAUUGCCGUAUGAAAUUGCCAACAUGUUAAAGUUGAAUCUCACGAAGGAGAAUGAAAGGAAGAAAAGGGCAACCAAAUUCUGACAUGCAUUGACAAGAAUGAAGAAACCUGUACUUAUCUUGAUGAUGUGUGAAAACAUUUUGGAAAUUCCGUGUAGAGUGAAUGGAUUGAAGUUGAUUCUUACUACUUGCAUGUUGGAGGUGUGUCAGAAGAUGAUGCAUUGACAAAAGAUGAUGCAUAGACUAAAUAUGGGACUCUAGCUUACUGUAAUAAUCCUGCACAAAAGAAGGAAACAGAACAUCGAAGGCUUGUCAUUAUAUCCCAGAAUCAUCUAAAUCAGCAAAGUUCUACGAUUUCUAAGAAUAAUUUAAACUGGUCGGGAAUCUGCUACCUCACCCUCUGAUAGGAGCGUAUCUUGACAAUUUCUAAUAGGAAGAUAUUAUACAAUUGCUACAAUCUCUAUCAUCCAUGUCAUUGGAAUGACAUUUGAUGACAAUGUCAGCAUCAAUUCCUGGCCUGAAGCCAACUUGUUAUGAAAAUGAUGUUUGCCACAUGACAGAUACACAAAGUGCAGUGUGCUUCCUAGCACUUGAUAGCUCUUGGGACUGGAGGGAUUAAACCUUGCGUCUCAUCCUAUGGAGCAUAUUAGUUUGAUGAUGCUGAUGAGGCAGAGAAGAAACAAAAGAAUUCUUUCUUCAAUUGGUUUUAUUUUUCAAUCAAUGUUGGUGCACUCAUUGCUUGGCAAUUGCUGUUGUGAGAAUCUUUUCAGGUACUAGGUUGUAUCGGUACCAGAAAUCUGGAGGCAGCCCUUUGAUGCGCAUCUUUCAAGUGCUGAUGGCAUCCGUUAGGAAAUAUCGAGUUGAAGUGCCUCUGGACAAGUCUCUUUUGUAUGAGAUGUAGAGUCUGCUAUCAAAGGAAGUUGCAAGCUUGAUCACAGCUCAGCCUUCCGUCUAUAUAGGUAAUACCUCAACUCCCAUGUCUUUCUGCCUCAUCAUGGAUAUUUCCUGUUCUUCCAAUGCAUUCCUCCACUCAUGAGUAUCAACCACCUCCCUCAUACUUCCACCCAUUGUUAUUAUCCCAAGUGGUAGUAAGAAUCAACUUCAAUCCAUUCACUCUACAAGUAAUUCUCACCUCCUCAAAACCAAAAUAUUUCCACACAUCAUCCAAGAUAAGUCUAAAUUUCUUCAUUCUUGUCAAUGCUUGUGAGAGUUUGGCUGCCCUUUUCUCCUUUCCAUUCUCCUUUGUGAGAUCUAACUUUAACAUGUUGGCAAUUUCAUACUUCACACGUUAAUCUUGCUACACAGUGAGCCAAUGAACAUGCACCUCAGACGUUUCAGAACUUCGUGAAAGUAAAUCAUGGAUAUAGGUUGCCAAGGUUGUUUUUCCCAAUGCCCUCAUUCUAUAAAUUCCGUUGUGCAUGAUAUCAUCUUUCAUUAAGCAGUCUCAAACCUUUUCCAAAUUCUAUAUAAAUUCUUCACCUGUUAAUUUCGUGUCAACAAUGGCAUUGCUUUGGUGUCAUGUACAUCAAGUAACAGAAAUUUAUCCUGCUCAACAAGUUCGAAGCAUUUUUUCCCAACUGUAAGUUUUGAAAAGUAGCAUUGCUUCCUUUUACAUCUCAUUCUAAGCUUUGAAAUUCCUUUUUCUUCUUUUGCACAUUAUCCAACCAAUUGUCGACCCAUCUCUUUUGUUUCUUUCCCAUUCGAAACUCUGCAUCUUGCAUCAUUGCAAUUACAUCAGUUUCUCGGCAGCUCUAUUAUUUAAUUUUGCUUCUGAGUGUCUGCAGCUUAUCAUCGAGGCUAUUGAAAUUGCUUAGUUGUUCCUUGGCGUUCCUCAAGAUGUGUUGCAACUGUUUUAUACUUCUUAAUGUUUUCCUUGCUUGUAAUUUUCUCUAGUCCUUUUAUUGUUUGUAAUGGACUUGUUUUCUUCUGCAUAGUGGGGGUAUGCCCCCGCUUGUUCCCUUUUGAACAUUAUUUCUUUGUCUAUAAAAUUUUUUCCCAGGAAAAAAAAUAUAUAGUGUAUGAUUUUUAUUUUUUA